rnacentral:rRNA from 1 species
AGCGAACGCUGGCGGCAGGCCUAACACAUGCAAGUCGAACGAAGUCUUCGGACUUAGUGGCGGACGGGUGAGUAACACGUGGGAACGUGCCUUUAGGUUCGGAAUAACUCAGGGAAACUUGUGCUAAUACCGAAUGUGCCCUUCGGGGGAAAGAUUUAUCGCCUUUAGAGCGGCCCGCGUCUGAUUAGCUAGUUGGUGAGGUAAAGGCUCACCAAGGCGACGAUCAGUAGCUGGUCUGAGAGGAUGAUCAGCCACAUUGGGACUGAGACACGGCCCAAACUCCUACGGGAGGCAGCAGUGGGGAAUCUUGCGCAAUGGGUGAAAGCCUGACGCAGCCAUGCCGCGUGAAUGAUGAAGGUCUUAGGAUUGUAAAAUUCUUUCACCGGGGACGAUAAUGGCGGUACCCGGAGAAGAAGCCCCGGCUAACUUCGUGCCAGCCGCCGCAGUAAGAC